UUCAAAAUUGACUUGAAAAGUUGGUCUUUGUUUUGUCUGUCGGAUUUGGUCCAAAUUUAGCCCAAAAAUAGAUGUGAAAUAACAGUGAAAUUCUGCGUGACUUCCACGUGCUGUAAUGUGCGCGCGCGCAGAACUGGAGCGGAGGACGUCACCAUGGAAACGAGGCGGCAGCCCAACCGUCAAGCAGCUGAUCGCUGACACUCAAUGUGGUUUCACUUUUUUUUUAGAAGUGCCAGAAAAAAACCUCUAUGACGCAGGAGAAGUUCCUGAUUUUAACAUUUCUGAAGGGAGCUGCUGACAGAGAGGAUGAAAACAUACACAUUUUGAUGUCCACGCUGUAGGAGCAUUACUAAAUAAUGCUUAUGUUCCUAGGUUCUUCCAUGCUGAUGGCUGUGCUCUAGAGUCAUAUCUCCUGUCGAAGAACAUUUUUAGACAUUAUGAACCAUGAAUAAGUUUAGCUCCAACCCCAGUUAAGCAGACCUGAGCAGCUGAUCAAGGAUCAGCAGAAACUCUGCAGAACGGUGGUCCUCCAGCCCAGAACUGGACACCAGUGUUAGUGUCUGUCUCAGAAGCUGAAGAAAAAAGGUCACACCUUAUAGGAAAUAAACGCCUCCUAAGUGUAUGGAAAUACCUGGCUGAGGAGAUCAGUGACAUAAACCAGAUAAAACUGUCAGUGGUCUGAGACAGCUACAAGCCACAAAAACAGUUCAUAGUUCCUGCAUUUCUAUAAUGCAUUAAUGAAUAACAAUAAUUAAAAUAAAAUGUAAUGUCAAGGUUUUGUGUUAAUUCCAGCUAUGUUGAGUAUUCUGUGAAUAAUUUUGAUUUUAGGUGCAUAUUCUUAAUUCUUUGCAAAACAACCUGAACUGUUUGCUAUUGAAAGGUUGGUAUGAAGUUUAAAUAAAUAAAAACAUUAUAUUCUUGACAAAAC